GGAUUUGAAAAUAUCUACCAAAGGAAACUCUCGAACCUUCACUGGGUCCUCGAGGUUCGGUACAUCAUGGUUUAAACCACAGGAUGGUUAGAUAUUUUCUGCAUACCUUUGGAAAAGAAAAGCGAUAAAAAGAAAAAUAUUUUCUUUCUAAGAACGCCUCUGCUUCCAGCGAUGGAGGCUGAAUCGGCGGAUGGAUCGGCCACCUAUCAAUCUUAUUACUCCCUCCUGGGGAUCCGCCGCAACGCUUCCCUCGCCGAAAUCCGCGUGGCCUACAGAAAGCUUGCCCUGAAUGUUUACAGAAAGUGCA